UCAGGUUGUUUCAGUGCAAUUCAAUGGGCUCACUCCCAGCAAGUCAAGUGAUAAUGGACCUGUCCACUGCCACUAUCACAAAGAUAUUUGUGAAGAAGAAGGUGACAUCACUGCAAGAGGAGACCAUUGUAUAACUUAGCCAGGACACAGUGUUAUACCCAGUGCCCUACGACAAUUGGAGAAAAUUUAAACCUCACUCUUCUGUGAUGUUUUCCAUACAUGUUGUGUAAAACAGGCUCCCAGGACACCUUCAUAAGGGUAGUUUCUGGGAAUGAAGAGGGAGGUUGUGCAAAUAUUAAUGUAGUCUCUGACUAAAUUAAUUUUGUUCUGGAUUUCCCAUAGGCUUCAGGGAAGGAUGAUAUGGGUUUCUUGGCCCAUCCUCUCUACAUCUGUGGACUUUUGACUCCAUGAGGGCUCUGUGGAGAGUCCAGGCCUGGGGAUGCUGAUACAAAGGCAGGCAACACCUGCCUUCCACAUAGGAUUUAGGAAACUUUGCCAUGCCAAUCGUCAAUUACUUCUGCAAGAACCAAAGCAACACACAGAUGUGCCCUUGAGGGCCAGCUCCUACACACCAGUGAAGCGCCUGACAGAUAAGGAAGCAAAUGAGGAGGAGUAAGGAGGACAUGUUUCGCGAAGUGCUGCAAUCAUCAAAUCAGGCUGAUAGCGAGCACAGAACGCGGAGAGAGACAAAUGAAAAAUUAGAAAUGAACAGCCAGGAGAGGAGCCAGUGCCAGAGCCAGAGCCAGAGCCAGAAGUGGAUAAUAAAGCUCAUGGAGGAUCAGACAGAUGUUGAGGCCCCUGAUUGCACUGUAAGCAGAACACAUGCAUGCUCAACUCCCAGUGCAGCCCAUACGCAACUGCCUUCCUUGCCCUCCCCAAACUCCCCACACAUGUUCCUCGCAUGUUCCUGGCCCGUCGCAGUACCCCUUGCGCUCCACCCCAAGGACAUUUUCCAUAAUGACAGCUGGACUUACACACACACCUGUGAGAUCCUCACUUUAGAGGGUGCUACUCACUGUCAUCCCUUGUAAGAAAUGUAAAUCUGUGUAUUGCUGUUUAAUAAAAAUUUAGUCUUACAAAGACAGUGAUUCUUUAGAAUGUAAGAAUGGCCAAACUUAGUCAGACCAAAGGUACAUCUAUCCCAGUAU